CGAACGAUUCGGGCAAGUGUACUGUACUGUUGUAAGAGACGUUUUCUGUUGAGGCAGGGGAGCCGACUCCAGUGCUCUUCCACUAGCAAUCACCUGAAGCAUCAUUAAAAUUAAUAACCAAACUGUCCAAUCAGUGCAUUGCGCUGCAGAACAAGGGGUGAUCCAAAGGCUUUGGACCAAAGCAAAGGGCUGCACUGACUGCACCUGCCAUCCACCAUUUCAAUCAAACAAAUUCAAAGAUGGCAGAUCAAGAAACUGACUCAGUCGAUAAUCCGUGGCCUCACCUGCUGCUACUUUUUAAGCCCAAACAUAGGAAAGGAAAAAAUAAUUUAAUUAAAUGCUGCUUGUGCCUCCUCAAAGUCACCGAAAUUUUAACCUUCAAAAACUCAACAUCGAACCUACGGAAGCAUAUCGAAAGAAAACAUCCAACACAGCUGCGGGCCUAUAAAGACUGCUUCACCACCAAAAAACCCAGAAGCAACGCCACUUCUACUUCCACUACUUGCCCAACAGCAAGUACACAAACAACACAGAAUGCCGGGCUCAGCGUUCAUCGAGUGUCUCAAGCUAAAUUUGACCACACCGUUAUUAAUCUGGUGUGUGAGGGUUUGCUCCCCUUUUCAAUUGUCAACCUACCUGCCUUCAAAGAGCUGGUAACCACAGUGAAUCCACAAAGCUCUGUGAUGACUAGGAAGACUCGACAUCUUAAAAUAGAGACUGCAGAUGAGGCCAUGAAAACCUCUGCAAAUAUGCUUUUGAGCACUAUCCAGUAUGUGGCAACCACUACAGACUGCUGUACCUCAAGUCAGGGCAGCUUUCUCGGGGUCACGUGCCAUUGGAUCGAACCAGUUACACUCGAAAGAUGCUCUGCGGCACUGGCCUGCAGAUGCCUGAGGGGAUCUCAUACGUUUGAUGUGUUAGCAGCAGCCUUGGAAGACGUCCACUCAGAAUAUCACAUCCGUGACAAAGUGGUGAAGACUACCACUGACAGUGGUUCCAAUUUUGUUAAGGCAUUCAGGGUCUUCGGUGACCAGACAGAAGAGAUUGAACCAGAGCUCCACAUGGGGAUGAGGAUGCACAUGAACAGGAUCCUGAUGUCGAGUUCCAGGAUCCCACUGAGAUUUUGAAUGGCAACAGCCACAGUCUAGAGUACCAGCUCCCACCACACCAGAGAUGCGCCUGCGAUCUGCUGAAUCUGGUGGCAGCCACAGACGGGCUGGAUGACAAGGACAACAAAGAGUAUAAAUGGCUGUUUAGGUCUACGUUUGCAAAGUGCAGUGCUUUGUGGAACAAGAUGGGGAGUUCAAGUCUUGCAGCAGAAGUGGUGGAGGAUGUCAGACGUGUCUAAUAUAUGUGAUUUACUUUACCACAGAUAAUGGCAACUUGUUAAUUGAGUUAAUUGACAGUAAUUUGCACAACUGGUAAACGUUGCUUUUUGCCUCCUCUCUUUCAUCUGUUUCAUUAUAGGCUGAGCCUGGCAGAAUUGGCUUUUCUUGAAGAAUAGUGUUCUGUGAUGAGGUCAAUCGCAAAGGCACUUGACAUUCUCCAGGCAGAGACCAACUCCCACAUGGGUUGGUUAUUACCAACUAUAUACCUCCUGGAAGAUAAACUACUUCGAUUGGAGUCCUCAAUCAAGGUGUGUUACCCAUUGCUACACAGUCUGCAAAGCGCCAUCCAGAAGAGAUUUGGUGAGAUGAAGAGAGACCCCGAGCUGAUUGCUACGGCCAUUCUGCUCCCCAAAUUCAAGAUUAAGUGAACAGACAAGGAUCACAUCAAAACAAUUGGAAAAGACUACAUCCAGAGACACAUCGAGCAUGAUGAAAUGAAGGCUCCAGAUGUCAGCUCUUCCUCAGAGGACGACGACUUCUCCUCAUUGAAGGCAGGUCUGAGCCAACCUGGAGAACUGGAAGGCUACCUUGCGUGUUCCUCUAACCAGAUGGACCUACUCCACUCGUUUCCUGCACUGAAGAAGCUAUCACUGAAGGUCAGCACUCCUCUGCCUGCAUCUGCUGCAUGUGAAAGGCUUUUCAGCUGUGCAGGGCUCAUUUUUACAAGUAAAAGAGCCACACUGGGCAGCAGAAACUUUGAAAAUCAGCUUCUCCUCAAGCUCAACAAAAAAUUCAUGAAGUAGACCUGAUUUGGACGGAAACUUUAGUUAAUGUAACGUAAGGGAACCAGGGGGUUGGUUGUGUGUAUAUGGUAAAUGUGUGAAAUUGGUACAUUUAUAAAAUCACUGGUAAAUUUAAUUACAGGUACAUUUUUAAAUUUACCACCACACUGGUGAUUUUAUACACACACAGACACACGCGUGCGCGCGUGUGCUGGGGCUAUGUUUAAGUUAGAAUAGUCCCAGCACGCGCGCGCGCGCACGCACGCACGCACACACACACACAGACGUGCUGGGGCUGUGUUUAGGUUAGAAUAGUCCCAACACACACACACGUGCUGGGGCUGUGUUUAAGUUAUAAUAGUCCCAGCAUGUGCACAGACACACACAGACACACACAAAAUCACCAGUGUGGUGAUACAUUUAUAAAUGUACUGGUAAUUAAAUGCUGCAUGGUAGUAUAUUUAUAGAAUUACUGGUGAUUUUAUAAAUGUACCAAUUUCACGGGGGCUCGACCUCACAAUCCUGAUUGCCUGGCAAAUUCGUAAACAGUCUAGUGCGUUGUGCGUUAGCCCGCUAUGCUAAAGGCUGAAACUUUAGUUUAGGCAAUAUUUCUGCACACCUGCUAAGACUGCCACUAUAAAAAUGAAAUGAUCAGGUCCAAUUUUUAAUGCCAUAUAGGUAAUUGUUCAAAUAUCACUUUUAUGCCCUAAAAAAGGGAAAAGAUUUUUGCUUGGUUGUGUAUAUUUUAUUUCUUUUAUUUGUCAUUUAAUUAGGUGAAUUUUAUUAUUGUCACAUAUAAUUUUUCAUUUAAAUAAUUUGAGUUUAAAUGUGUGCCAAGCUUAAGAGAGAGUCUGAUUUGUGAUUUGUUUUUUCACAAUAUUUACAUAAAAUAACAUCUCCAAAGAAUAUUUACCCCCCCAUUGGAAGCUGUUCUAGUCACUGUUGUACCUGAAAAAUUCAUUCAUUAACUUCAUUAUAUGUUAUUUAAAUAAUGUAAGAUGAAAUGUGUGCCAAGUUUAAAUAAAAAUGUGGUUAAAUUGCAA